rnacentral:rRNA from 1 species
AUGGUCGAGGGAUCCGCCCUUGAGAUUUCCAAUCUGAAGUUCCUCCUUCUGUGCUUCCAGCAAAUGUCGGGCCUUACCAUCAACUUCGACAAGAGCGAAGUGAUGGUGCUCGGAUACCCCGCCGAGGAGGCCCAGUCCAUCGCCGAUCGGCUUAACUGCCGGCUGGGCUCUUUCCCCACGACUUAUCUGGGGAUUCCCAUUAGUGACUCGCGCCUCACCGUGGCGGACCUCCGCCCCACGGUGACCCGUAUGCAGCAUCGCGUUGAGCCCUGGAAAGGGCGUUGGCUUUCGAAAGCGGGCCGCGUGAUUCUGAUCAAUUCCUCGCUGGCCAGCCUCCUGUGGUUCCUCAUGAGCUUCUACAGCCUUCAUGAGACGCUCCACCAGGAGAUCGCCAAGUACCAGUCCAGAUUCUUCUGGGCAGGGGAGGAGGGCAGGCAGAAAUAUCACAUGGUCAGUUGGCCAGAUAUCUGCAAACCCAAAGACCAGGGCGGUCUUGGGAUUCUUUCCUCUCGGCGCAUGAACAUCGCCCUCUUGACCCGCUGGCUGUGGCGCAUUGCCAUUGGAGAGGGUGGCCUCUGGCUA